rnacentral:rRNA from 2 species
UUAUUGAAGUUAGCGGCGGACGGGGCAGUAUACACGUGGUAACCUGCCCAUAAGACUGGGAUAACUCCGGGAAACCGGGGCUAAUACCGGAUAAUAUUUUGCGCCUCAUGGCGCGAAAUUGAAAGGCGGCUUCGGCUGUCACUUAUGGAUGGACCCGCGUCGCAUUAGCUAGUUGGUGAGGUAACGGCUCACCAAGGCGACGAUGCGUAGCCGACCUGAGAGGGUGAUCGGCCACACUGGGACUGAGACACGGCCCAGACUCCUACGGGAGGCAGCAGUAGGGAAUCUUCCGCAAUGGACGAAAGUCUGACGGAGCAACGCCGCGUGAGUGAUGAAGGCUUUCGGGUCGUAAAACUCUGUUGUUAGGGAAGAACAAGUGUGAGUUGAAUAAGCUCACGCCUUGACGGUACCUAACCAGAAAGCCACGGCUAACUACGUGCCAGCAGCCGCGGUAAUACGAAGGUGGCAAGCGUUAUCCGGAAUUAUUGGGCGUAAAGCGCGCGCAGGUGGUUCUUAAGUCUGAUGUGAAAGCCCACGGCUCAACCGUGGAGGGUCAUUGGAAAACUGGGAGACUUGAGUGCAGAAGAGGAAAGUGGAAUUCCAUGUGUAGCGAUGAAAUGCGUAGAGAUAUGAGGAACACCAGUGUCGAAGGCGACUUUCUGGUCUGUAAGCUGACACUGAAGCGCGAAAGCGUGAGGACGCGAAAGCGUGAGGAGCAAACAGGAUAGAUACCCCUGCCAGUCCACGCCCGUAAUCGAUGAGUGCUAAGUGUAGACGGCUUCCCGCCGUUGACGACUGAGCUUAACCGCAUCAAGCACUCCGCCCUAGGGAGUACCGGCGCCAGUCUGAACUCAAUGGAAAUGACCGCGGCCCGC